rnacentral:rRNA from 1 species
UACGAAGGGGGCUAGCGUUGCUCGGAAUCACUGGGCGUAAAGGGUGCGUAGGCGGGUCUUUAAGUCAGGGGUGAAAUCCCGGAGCUCAACUCCAGAACUGCCUUUGGUACUGAGGAUCUUGAGUUCGGGAGAGGUGAGUGGAACUGCGAGUGUAGAGGUGAAAUUCGUAGAUAUUCGCAAGAACACCAGUGGCGAAGGCGGCUCACUGGCCCGAUACUGACGCUGAGGCACGAAAGCGUGGGGAGCAAACAGG